GUCUAUGGCCAUACCACCCUGAACAUGCCCAAUCUCAUCUGAUCUCAAAAGCUAAGCAGGAUCAGUUCUGGUUGUACUUGGAUGGAGAAAAAAGAACUCCAGAUCAUAAUAUGCC
rnacentral:rRNA from 1 species